rnacentral:lncRNA from 1 species
CCUCUGUAUUUGCUCUAUGGGUCUUAUUUGGCAAAGCUGUGUAAUUACCAAAUUUUCUAUCAAGAUGCUGUAUCCUACCUUCCCUCUUAAAGUCCUCAGGAAGACUAGCAGAAGCUUGGUGACAGAAACGUCAGACUACAGCUGUGGAUCUCUACUCUUCCACUACCCUCCAGAAUGAUGAAUGUUGUCAGAAUGACACAGAAACUUGUUGACCCCGGACUGGAUGGAUCAACUGACACCACUCAGACCGUGGUAAUCUGGCUCAACCAGUUCUGCCAUCCCACCCAGGAACAGAAGACAGCUAGAAAACCUCACUUCUACCCCCGAUGAUUCCACCUCCAACCUGACCGAUCAGCACUCCCCACUUCCAAAGUUCCCGCCCUGAGUUGAGUAAUAAUAAAACUCCCAUCUCCUGUACAGCUGGCUCUACGUGAAUUACUCUUUCCCCACUGCAAUUCCCCCAUCUUGAUAAAUUGGUUCUGUCUAGGCAGC